CUGGUGGUUUCGGGCGACCUUCGGCUCUUCUCAGCUGGUCCAUGCGCAGCUCCAAACUCGGCCUCUGUCCUCACAGGGCUAUCGGCCCCAUGUCUUCACGUGGCAGUCUCUCCUCUGUGCCACUGGCUCCCGUCCCCUUAAAAGGACACCAGUCAUAUUGGACGAAGGGGCCACCCUACUCUAGUAUGACCUCACCUUAACUUACAUCUUUUUUUUUGGGGGGGGACAAAGUCUUGCUCUGUUGCCUGAGCUGGAGUGCAGUGACGUGAUCUCAGCUCACUGCAACCUCCGCCUCCCGGGUUUAAGUGAUUCUCUUGCCUCACUCAGCCUCCCGAGUAACUGGGAAAUACAGGCACCACCAUCAUGCCUGGCUAAUUUUUAAAUUAUUAUUCUUUUUAGUAGAGAGAGGGUUUCACUGUGUUGGCCAGGCUGGUCUCCAACUCCUGACUUCGUGAUCCACCUACCUUAGCCUCCCAAAGUGCUGGGAUUACAGGCGUGAGCCACUUCGCCUGGCCCAAUUUACAUCUUAAAAAAAUCUACAAAGACCCUAUUUCCUAUUUCCAAGUAAAGUCACAGAAGCUAAAGUACCAGAAGCUAGGACUUCAACGUUUCCUUUUGCGGAUACAAUUCAAUUUGCAACAGACUUGGGCUCUCAAAGCCUGGAAGCAGCCUCCACAGUCCCCUCGAAUUUCAGGGGCACCACAUACUCUACAUGUUCAGGUAUCGCCUGAGAUAAAGGCUUCCAUCCCUGCAACCCAAGCCCAGCUGCUCUGGUAAAGGGUGCCAGAGAGACACAGCCAAGGCGUUAUCCUGAUGGGGGUGUCACCAAGGGGUAGACGCCAAGGCCUCGAUGCCACCUGAGUUUACCAGCCGGGGAGAGUUAAGAAAAAGUGUAUGCGCAAGGAGCGGCUUUCCUUCUUGGAAGUUAAUCUGAGAGGUCCCAGCGGAACCCUUAGUCACGCUGGCUUGGACAACUCACUGAACCCUUGAGGCCUGGCUCCUCGCCUGCAGGCCCCGUGUCCUGUGAAGCACCAAACACAGUGACCCAUUUUUCUCAGAUCUUA
rnacentral:lncRNA from 1 species